CGCAUCUGUGCAUGCAGCAUAUCAAUAAGCGGAGGAAAAGAAACUAACAAGGAUUCCCCUAGUAACGGCGAGUGAAGCGGGAAGAGCUCAAAUUUGAAAUCUUGAAGGGUUUCCCUUUACGAAUUGUAGUUUAAAGAAGUGUUUUCUGUUGAGGUUUUGGUAAAAGUUCUUUGGAAUAGGACAUCAUAGAGGGUGAGAAUCCCAGUAUUUGACCUUUACUUUCAACUUUGUGAUACACUUUCAAAGAGUCGGAUUGUUUGGGAAUGCAGUCCAAAAUGGGUGGUAAAUUUCAUCUAAAGCUAAAUAUUGGCGAGAGACCGAUAGCGAACAAGUACCGUGAGGGAAAGAUGAAAAGAACUUUGAAAAGAGAGUUAAACAGUACGUGAAAUUGUCAAAAGGGAAGCGUUUGACACCAGUGUUGUUUUUCUGAAAAUCAAUUAAAGAACUGUUUAUGCUAAGCUUGUUUAGACUUUAUCAGCUAUCUGUUUAGUUUUGAGCUUUUCUUUAAUGCACUUUUCAGUUAACAAGUCAACAUCAAUUUCUUUUGCUGUAAAAAAGCUUGAGGAAGGUGGCUUGAGAUUCGUCUUAAGUGUUUAUAGCCUCUUGCCUAUGCAGUCGGAGAGAUUGAGGUCUGCAGCGUAGAUCCUUCGGGGCUAAAUGCAUUUGUGCUAAGUUAUAGCAUUUCAUAGACAACUUGUUGACUAUGAUUUGUCUUGUAGCUUACUCGCUUAUGUUAUUUUACCUACGCUUAGGAUGUUGAACGCGCACAGAGUCUC
rnacentral:rRNA from 1 species